rnacentral:tRNA from 1 species
CAGAACGUGGCCGAGAAUAGCCUAAGCGCCUCUUUUACACUGAGACUACAUCCAUGCAAGCUGGAUCGUUCUGA